GCAAGACGCGAAAAUUGUUAUCAUCCUAUUCUCUAAGAGAUUUUAUUUUGGCCACUUUAAAGUGGCCAUUUU
rnacentral:sRNA from 1 species